rnacentral:rRNA from 1 species
AUACGGAGGGUGCAAGCGUUACUCGGAAUCACUGGGCGUAAAGCGCGCGCAGGCGGCUAUUUAAGUUGGAUGUGAAGCCUACGGCUCAACCGUAGAACUGCAUCCAAAACUAUUUAGCUAGAGUGUGGGAGAGGAAGAUGGAAUUAGUUGUGUAGGGGUAAAAUCCGUAGAGAUAACUAGGAAUACCAAAAGCGAAGGCAAUCUUCUGGAACACUUCUGACGCUGAGGCGCGAAAGCGUGGGGAGCAAACAGGAUUAGAAACCCCAGUAGUCC